CAUGGUUAACUCAGCAGAGCACAGCAAGUUCCUAGGUAGGGGAGCCAAUUGCAACAAAAACAGAAUUCUGAACCAGAGUACAAAAUGAAAGGUUUUAGGACAGCAAUCUAACACCCAGCAAUUCCCAGGAAGCUUUUAUCUCAGCAAGACGGAAAGAAUUCUGGUUCUUAUUUGUUUUCACCUAGGGUAGACAUCUUGUUGGCACCAGGAGUUCCAGAAAGUGUCUGCCAAGUCCAUGUCAGUCUUGGCACAUUUUCAAUGAUGUGCUAUACAGUACAUCACAUUUCUACUACAAGAAAGCAACCUGGGACCACACAGAUCUCUGUGCUAAAGGCCUGGGAAGAAAAAAUGAUGUGCCCUGCAAUUUGAAAUGACUGUGAUAAGCAUUUUAAAAGUCAUCAUGAUCAUGACUUUGGAUGAAGCUGGGUCCUUCAGUGACUGCUUGGUGAAGAACAUUCGACUUGCCCCUCAAAACCACUACCUAUAUUUGACCCAGCUAUUCUUCUCCUUAGACUAUAUCCAAAGGACUUAAAAACUAUAGGAACACAGCCACAUCAAUGUUUAUAGCAGCACAAUUCA